GUGGGGAAUCUUGCGCAAUGGGCGAAAGCCUGACGCAGCCAUGCCGCGUGAAUGAUGAAGGUCUUAGGAUUGUAAAAUUCUUUCACCGGGGACGAUAAUGACGGUACCCGGAGAAGAAGCCCCGGCUAACUUCGUGCCAGCAGCCGCGGUAAUACGAAGGGGGCUAGCGUUGCUCGGAAUUACUGGGCGUAAAGGGCGCGUAGGCGGACAGUUUAGUCAGAGGUGAAAGCCCAGGGCUCAACCUUGGAAUUGCCUUUGAUGCUUGCUGUCUUGAGUUUGGGAGAGGUGAGUGGAACUCCGAGUGUAGAGGUGAAAUUCGUAGAUAUUCGGAAGAACACCAGUGGCGAAGGCGACUCACUGGCCCAAUACUGACGCUGAGGCGCGAAAGCGUGGGGAGCAAACAGGAUUAGAUACCCCUGUAGUCC
rnacentral:rRNA from 1 species